CAGCAGCCACGGUAAUACGGAGGGGGCUAGCGUUGUUCGGAAUUACUGGGCGUAAAGCGCACGUAGGCGGCUUGGUAAGUUAGAGGUGAAAGCCUGGAGCUCAACUCCAGAAUUGCCUUUAAGACUGCCGAGCUAGCAGGUGAGAGAGGUAAGUGGAAUUCCGAGUGUAGAGGUGAAAUUCGUAGAUAUCCGGAAGAACACCAGUGGCGAAGGCGGCUUACUGGCUCAUACUGGACGCUGAGGUGCGAAAGCGUGGGGAGCAAACAGGAUUAGAUACCCCUGUAGUCCCUGUCUCUUAUAC
rnacentral:rRNA from 1 species